rnacentral:rRNA from 1 species
AUGGCAGAUAAUGGUAAAGCAAAGUCAGGCUCAGGAGGAGCCUAUACAAUCAAUCUAGAGACCUUCAGUAAGCGGCUUAAGGUGUUUUAUGACCAUUGGAACGGAAACAAGUCUGAUCUUUGGGCUUCUUCUGAUGCCAUUGCAAUUGCUACUCCGCCUCCUUCUGAGGAUCUCCGUUAUUUGAAAUCCACAGCCCUGGAUGUUUGGUUGCUUGGGUAUGAAUUUCCAGAAACCAUAAUUGUCUUCAUGCAGAAGCAGAUACAUUUCUUAUGCAGCCAGAAGAAAGCAAAUCUCAUUGGAACCCUCAAGGAUGCUGCAAGUGAGGCUGUUGGUUCUGAUAUUGUCUUGCAUGUGAAAAGCAAGAACGGGGAUGGCAUUGACCUGAUGGAUGACAUACUGCGUGCUGUUUCUGCUGAGUCGAAAUCUGACACUCCAGUUGUUGGUCACAUUGCAAAAGAGGCACCUGAGGGUAAGCUCCUUGAAACAUGGGCAGAAAAGUUAGCUGGUGGAUCUGUACAACUUGCAGAUGUAACACAUGGGUUUUCUGAGCUUUUUGCCGUGAAAGACGCCACAGAGAUCAUAUGUGUGAAGAAGGCUGCUUACCUAACUUCAUCUGUGAUGAAAAACUUUGUGGUACCGACCAUGGAGAAGGUUAUUGAUGAGGAGAGAAAAGUCUCACACUCCUCAUUGAUGGAUGACACAGAGAAGGUUAUUCUUGAUCCUUUGAAGGCCAAGGUGAAGUUGAAGCCUGAAAAUAUUGAUAUUUGCUACCCUCCUGUCUUCCAAAGUGGAGGGAAGUUUGAUCUUAGGCCAGGUGCCUCCAGCAAUGAUGAUUAUCUCUACUAUGAUCCUGCAAGUAUUAUCAUCUGUGCAAUUGGGUCCAGGUACAGUAACUACUGUUCCAAUGUUGCCAGAACAUUUUUGAUAGAUGCUACCCCGGCACAGAGUAAGGCGUAUGAGACACUUCUGAAAGCUCAGGAAGCUGCUUUAGCAGCAUGUAAACCAGGCAAUCAGAUGUCUGCAGUUUUUAAGGCUGCAGUUGCAGUGUUUGAGAAGAAUGCCCCUGAACUGCUUCCUAAUCUAACAAAGUCAGCUGGAACUGGAAUUGGCCUUGAGUUCCGAGAAUCUGGCUUAAACUUGAAUGCCAAGAAUGACCGUCUGAUAAAAGAGGGAAUGAUUUUCAAUGUCAACCUUGGUUUGAGUAAUAUACAGGCAGAAACAAACAAUGAGAAGACAAAGCAGUUCUCUUUGUUAUUAGCUGAUACAGCUUUAGUUAAUGACAAGGCUGCAGAGAUCUUGACCAAUUGCUCCAAGGCUGUUAAAGAUGUUGCGUAUUCAUUUAAUGAAGAUGAGGAGGAAGUUCCGAAGCCGAAGAGGGCUAAGGUUGAGCCAAAUGGCGUGGAAGCACUACCAUCCAAGGCAACACUUCGGUCAGACAACCAGGAGAUGUCCAAGGAAGAGCUCCGGAGACAGCACCAGGCUGAACUUGCUCGUCAAAAGAAUGAAGAGACUGCUAGAAGGCUUGCUGGGGGUGGUUCUGGUAAUGGUGAUGGCCGCGGUCCUUCUAGGAAUUCAAAUGAGCUUGUUGCGUACAAGAAUGUGAAUGAUGUACCUUAUUCGAGAGAGUUGGUGAUACAAGUAGAUCAGAGGAAUGAAGCUGUUCUCUUACCUAUAUAUGGCAGUAUGGUCCCUUUCCAUGUUUCUACUGUUAAGAGUGUGACCAGCCACCAGGACAACCGCACCUGCACUAUCCGCAUUUUCUUCAAUGUACCUGGCAUGCCAUUCUCAAAUGACAAAGAUCUGAAGUCUCAAGGAGCGAUCUACUUGAAAGAGAUUACAUUCCGCUCAAAGGAUCCACGGCAUAGCAGUGAAGUUGUCCAGCAGAUCAAAACAUUGAGGAGGCAAGUAGCUUCAAGGGAGUCAGAGAGAGCCGAAAGGGCCACCCUUGUUACCCAGGAGAAGCUCCAGCAGGCAAGCAACAAAACAAAGCAAAUGAGGCUUAAUGAUGUCUGGAUAAGGCCUCCAUUUGGUGGUCGUGGGAGAAAGCUGACAGGAACUCUUGAGGCCCAUGUUAAUGGUUUCAGAUAUUCUACCUCACGGGCUGAUGAGCGUGUGGAUAUCAUGUAUGGGAAUAUAAAACAUGCUUUCUUCCAGCCAGCAGAGAAAGAAAUGAUUACUCUCCUUCAUUUCCAUCUGCAUAAUCAUAUCAUGGUUGGAAACAAGAAGACGAAGGAUGUGCAGUUUUAUGUUGAAGUGAUGGAUGUUGUUCAAACUGUUGGUGGCAGCAGGAGGUCAGCCCUUGACCCUGAUGAGAUUGAAGAAGAGCAGCGUGAGAGGGACCGCAAGAACAGAAUCAACAUGGAGUUCCAGAACUAUAUCAACAAGGUUAACGACCACUGGUCGCAACCACAGUUCAAGGGGCUUGAUCUGGAGUUUGACAUCCCUCUUAGAGAGCUCGGGUUCCAUGGUGUCCCGUAUAAAGCUUCAGCUUUCAUCAUUCCAACUUCAACUUGUUUGGUUGAGCUGAUUGAGACUCCCUUCCUGGUGGUGACCCUGGGUGAGAUAGAGAUUGUUAAUCUGGAGAGGGUGGGCUUUGGAACAAAGAACUUUGACAUGGCUAUCGUGUUCAAGGACUUCAAGAAGGAUGUUCUCCGCAUCGACUCCAUCCCGUCAACCUCACUUGACGCGAUAAAGGAGUGGCUUGACACCACUGAUCUCAAGUACUAUGAGAGCAGGCUGAAUCUGAACUGGCGCCCUAUCCUGAAGACUAUCAUUGAUGAUCCCCAGAAGUUUGUUGACGAUGGUGGCUGGGAGUUCCUGAACAUGGAGGCAAGUGAUUCUGAGGCAGAGGAAACAGAGGAAUCAGACCAGGGGUAUGAGCCUUCUGAUGCUGAGCCUGAGUCUGAAUCAGAAGAGGAAGACUCUGACAGCGCGUCGUUGGUGGAAUCAGAUGAGGAUGAGGAAGAGGAUUCUGAUGAAGACUCUGAGGAAGAGAAGGGCAAGACCUGGGACGAGCUGGAGCGGGAGGCGACCAACGCGGACCGGGAUCAUGGCGCAGAGUCAGACAGCGAGGAAGAAAGGAGGCGCCGCAAGGUCAAGACCUUCAGCAAGUCCGGUGCACCACCGCAGCGUGGUCCUAGCAGCAGCAAGCAUGCUCCGCUGCCACAGCGUGGUGGCAGCAGCAGCGGCAACAAGUCUCGCCCGCCUCCCAGUAGCUCCAAGGGAGGGCCGCCCUCGAAGAAGCCGAAGUUCAGGUGA